rnacentral:rRNA from 1 species
GGGUUGUGAGGUUAAGCGACUAAGCGUACACGGUGGAUGCCCUGGCAGUCAGAGGCGAUGAAGGACGUGCUAAUCUGCGAUAAGCGCCGGUAAGGUGAUAUGAACCGUUAUAACCGGCGAUUUCCGAAUGGGGAAACCCAGUGUGAUUCGUCACACUAUCAUU